rnacentral:rRNA from 1 species
AGAUCAACGCGUUAGACUCUUUACCAUGUCUUCUACAUUCUCUAGAUCGGUCCAGAAAUGGUUCAACCCUUUGGACCCUCGUGAACAGGUGGUGCAUGGUUGUCGUCAGCUCGUUGUCGUGAGAUGUUGGGUUAAGUCCCGCAACGAGCGCAACCCUCGUUCUAUGUUGCCAGCGCGUAAUGGCGGGAACUCAUAGGAGACUGCCGGGGUCAACUCGGAGGAAGGUGGGGAUGACGUCAAAUCAUCAUGCCCCUUAUGUCUUGGGCUUCACGCAUGCUACAAUGGCCGGUACAAAGGGCUGCAAUACCGUAAGGUGGAGCGAAUCCCAAAAAGCCGGUCUCAGUUCGGAUUGAGGUCUGCAACUCGACCUCAUGAAGUCGGAGUCGCUAGUAAUCGCAGAUCGGCA